UGGGGAAUAUUGCACAAUGGGCGCAAGCCUGAUGCAGCGACGCCGCGUGAGGGAUGGAGGCCUUCGGGUUGUAAACCUCUUUCGCCAGUGAAGCAGGCCAUCUUCUUUGUGGGGUGGUUGACGGUAGCUGGAUAAGAAGCGCCGGCUAACUACGUGCCAGCAGCCGCGGUAAUACGUAGGGCGCGAGCGUUGUCCGGAAUUAUUGGGCGUAAAGAGCUCGUAGGCGGCUGGUCGCGUUUGUCGUGAAAUCCCCUGGCUUAACUGGGGGCUUGCGGGGGGUACGGGGCGGCUUGAGUGCGGAAGAGGAGACUGGAAUUCCUGGUGUAGCGGUGGAAUGCGCAGAUAUCAGGAGGAACACCGGUGGCGAAGGCGGGUCUCUGGGCCGUUACUGACGCUGAGGAGCGAAAGCGUGGGGAGCGAACAGG
rnacentral:rRNA from 1 species